AUGUCGUGGGAGUCAGCUGCAGGUCUUGCUCUGAUGUUAGCUCAGGUUACCUCUGUUUUGAAAGCUACUGUCUAUUUUGUGAGACCGAAUCCAACUGAAGAAAGUCUCCACAAUUUUAUUGACUAUGCAAGAAAGUCCCAGUUACUGGACCUCAUGUGUGAGUGUCUAAUAGCUUCAGGUUCAGAGAUAAAACUAGGUUCCAUAAACAUGGUACUAGCAGCACGUGAGGCAUGCAAGGGAAUUUGGCAUAUGGCUCAUGCAAUUGACAUUUUGUCCAUUGGUGCACAACAUUUUUCACUUCUUGUAGUUGGAUCAUGGCGACAAGGUCACUUAAAGCUGGAUGAUAUGUUCCAGAUGCUUAAGAAACGAUGCACACAUAAUCAAUAUGUGCAGCUGGCCCAUACAAUUUUUCAAGCUCACAGUGAGUUCCAUGCUACCAGUGAGGUUUUCACUUUGGUGCUUAACUGGAAAGCUGCACUUUUGCCCAUAGAGCUCCUAUUCGACAAGUACACUGAACUGAUGAACACUGAAUGGCAUUUUUGUCUGGUGCAACCUGUCCAUGUUUAUUGUCUUCUAUCUCUGGCUGAAUUUCCUGCUAGUGCAACUGAAUAUUCUUGCUACACCGUAAUUAGUAGUACAUGGUGGGUAUUCUUGGCGACUAUGCAAAUUAUGAUGGGAGGCACUAAUAAUAUGAUGAGCAGCCUGAAUGUGGAUGGUUUGAUUGCUAAAGCUUGGUCAUUAGCUUUUCCACGGGUACAACUACAGACAUCUAAUUACUGGGAAGAUAAAUUGUGUUCCCAAGGAAAGUGUAAAUGGAGAUCACCAUUUUUGUUUGAAGAAUUCCUGAAGGAAGUUACAGUUCGGCAACAUGGUAAUGUAUGUUGUUUGUUGAAAAAGGUUAAUUGUGCAGCAAGUUCUCAAGCUACUGGAUUGUGCUUUGUGGAACUGCAAUCUGGAACACCACAUCCAUGCAUACAGUGGACUUUAUGUGCAAGUGCUAAACAUUCAUGGUUCAAUUCUUGGCUAGCGUUGCUACUGUUUGGAGAGAUUUGUUCACCUCAAGUCUUGUCUAACUACCAUGUUACUGGAACUGUUGUGCUAAGCAAGCUCAUGGGUCUAGCACCUGUAGACGGUACAAGAUAUGGUGCGCCACUUCAAGUUGAGGCCCUGGUUAUCAUUGUUUGUUGCGCGCCACUUCCAGUUCAGGUUCUCAUGGAUGUUAAUCCACUCUGUGCACCCUUUAUUAACAAAAGAAGAGCAUCAUCGCUGGAGAAAGAAGGAAAGGAAUUAUUUCUUGGGGCACCUCAGCCCAGUAUUCACUAUCAUUUGUCAUUUCAGGUAGGGAUUAGGGUGUUCAUAGUCACCAGCUUGUUUGACUUACUUGAUAGCAUGCAGUGCAACUCUGAGAAUUUUUGGACUGAUCCUAUUUAUUGUUCUGAACAAUUCCGGUGGGUAAUUGCAUGGGCACUCUUUAACGGCUUCAAUGGCAGUCCAAGACAUAUUCUACUGUUGAUGGUCACCAACAUUUUUAAGGCAUUCUACAAUNNNUGUGCUGCUCCCAGGUCUGCUAUCCUUGAUCAGGAAUCAGGUAUAUUGGAAUCGAUCCGCGCACCUCUUAUUUGUGCUUGCUGGAGCUUGCUGUUAGGGGAUUUAUGUUCAAUUCUCGCAACUCAAAAUGUGGAACAACGGGUGCUUCCUAAGACAUCAUACUUAUUUGUUCCGGCUGUGCAAGAUUCUCAUGGUCAUGGACACGAGUUCUCUAAUGCAACACAAUGGGAUCCUGGAAUCUUGAAUCUUCUUGGUCAGGCAACAAUUCAAAUGAGGAUCAAAUGUCAAUAUACGAGCACAUAUAUACGGCGGUUUGAGUCACUUGGUGGAACACACCAUGAUUGUGAGUUGAUACUCCGUGGCAGUAAUCCAGAUAAAUUGAGCCGCGAAGGCUGCUCCCUUGAAGAUCAUGGUAAUUGUGUUCCGGUUGGUUAUGCUACACUUGAUAUUGAAUAUUGGUCAGCUAUUGUUAUCCUACGAGUGCAAACACCAUGGGAUCCCGGUGGUUCUCCUACUCCUUGGUACCACAGUCAUCGGCUUGAGGACAAGCCGCACUUUAAGGGGGCGAGAAUGUCAUGCCCGAGUGGUCAUGCCGCUAUGCUCUCAUUGGGCUUUACUUCGGAAGGGGCUGUGGUGCUUGGGCUUGGCCCAACUACAGGAGUCGGCGUCAAUGGUUAUAAACGAAGAGAGCUGCAGAGGGGAAGGCAUCGAAUGAUUGAAUCGUCUCUAGGUCUCUCUCCCCUGCUCCAGUUCCUCAUCUACUGCUACUGCAUCUCACCUCCUUGCUUUUGCUGA
rnacentral:rRNA from 1 species